UGAGGAAUAUUGGACAAUGGGCGCAAGCCUGAUCCAGCCAUGCCGCGUGCAGGAUGACGGUCCUAUGGAUUGUAAACUGCUUUUGCACAGGAAGAAACAGUUCUACGUGUAGAACCUUGACGGUACUGUAAGAAUAAGGAUCGGCUAACUCCGUGCCAGCAGCCGCGGUAAUACGGAGGAUCCAAGCGUUAUCCGGAAUCAUUGGGUUUAAAGGGUCCGUAGGCGGUUAGAUAAGUCAGUGGUGAAAGCCCAUCGCUCAACGGUGGAACGGCCAUUGAUACUGUCUGACUUGAAUUAUUAGGAAGUAACUAGAAUAUGUAGUGUAGCGGUGAAAUGCUUAGAGAUUACAUGGAAUACCAAUUGCGAAGGCAGGUUACUACUAAUGGAUUGACGCUGAGGCGCGAAAGCCAGGGGAGCAAACGGGAUUAGAUACCCAGGUAGUCCCUGAGCGGGCUGGCAAGGCGCAU
rnacentral:rRNA from 1 species